UUACGGCCAAGUCACGUUUAAAACAGCGAUUCUCGUCCGAUCACCGAAGUUAAGCAACGUCGAACCUGGUCAGGACUUAGACGGGUAACCCCUGGGCAAUACCAGGUGCUAUAA